UCCCGACGCCGUUCCCGCGGGUCUGGCACACGCCGGGGGACACCGAGGCCAACCUGGACCCCCCGACCGUGCACGACCUGGCCAAGGUGCUGCUGGUCUUCGUGGCCGAGUUCCUGCAGCUCUGAGCCCCAAAGUCCCCGAAAACAGCCCCAAAAAAACCACCCAAAACCGCCAAAAAUGGAAAAACCCAAAAAUCCCCCAAAAAUCCCCAAAAAAACACCCCAAAAAAAUCACAAAAAAACCCCGGACCUGGCCAAGGUGCUGCUGGUCUUCGUGGCCGAGUUCCUGCAGCUCUGAGCCCCAAAACCCCCCAAAACAGCCCCAAAAAACCACCCAAAACCGCCAAAAAUGGAAAAACCCAAAAAUCCCAAAAAACCA